rnacentral:rRNA from 1 species
UACGUAGGGAGCAAGCGUUGUCCGGAAUCAUUGGGCGUAAAGCGCGCGUAGGUGGCCCGGUAAGUCCGCUCUGAAAGUCAAAGGCUCAACCUUUGAAAGCGGGUGGAUACUGCCAGGCUAGAGUCCGGAAGAGGCGAGUGGAAUUCCUGGUGUAGCGGUGGAAUGCGCAGAUAUCAGGAGGAACACCAACGGCGAAGGCAGCUCGCUGGGACAGUACUGACACUGAGGCGCGAAAGCGUGGGGAGCGAACAGG